GGCGGCGAACGGCUCAGUAACACGUAGUCAACCUGCCCUCGGGUCGAGAAUAAUCUCGGGAAACUGAGGCUAAUGAGCGAUAGGUCAAGAUUCCUGGAAUGGGUUUUGGUCUAAACGGCGUGACAGCAUCUUGUCGUGUCCGCCCGAGGAUGGGACUGCGGCCGAUCAGGCUGUUGGUGGGGUAAAGGCCCACCAAACCAGUAACCGGUACGGGCUUUGAGAGAAGGAGCCCGGAGAUGGACACUGAGACAAGGGUCCAGGUCCUACGGGGCGCAGCAGGCGCGAAACCUUCGCAAUGCGCGCAAGCGCGACGAGGUUAUUCCGAGUGAUUUCCGCUGAGGAAAUCUUUUCUUAGAUCUAAAAAGUCUGGGGAAUAAGGGGAGGGCAAGUCUGGUGUCAGCCGCCGCGGUAAUACCAGCUCCUCGAGUGGUCAGGGCGUUUAUUGGGCCUAAAGCAUCCGUAGCCUGCUCGGUAGGUCUCCUGUUAAAUCCAACGGCUCAACCGUUGGCCUGCAGGAGAUACCGCUGGGCUAGGAGGCGGGAGAGGCGGACGGUACUCCGAGGGUAGGGGUAAAAUCCUUUGAUCCCCGGAAGA
rnacentral:rRNA from 1 species